rnacentral:lncRNA from 1 species
CCAUCCCCCUGUAAUUUACAUAUCUAUUCCCCACAACAAUGCAGCUCCUUCAAGCGGGGAUUCUGUUUGGUGCAUUUCUGUGGCCCCAGACUCCCAGCUGAGGACCAGGUGUGCUGACCUUCAUGGAUGACUUGGCAUUUUUGUUCCAUUUUCAGUUCAAAAGCAUCAACCAAGGCAAGAGGACCAGUGUUGCUGACUCCAUGCUGUGGUUGCUGGAGAAAUAUUCCCAGAACCUGGAGGACCUGAUUCAGGAGCAGACUGAGGAACUGGAGCUGAAGAGAGAGAAGACAGAAAGGCUGCUCUGUCAGAUGAUUCCCCCGUCUGUGGCUGAAGCUCGGAAAAUGGGGGCAACUGUGGAACCAGGGUAUUUUGACCAGGUUACCAUAUACUUCAGUGACAUUGUGGGUUUCACCAUCAUCUCAGCCCUGAGUGAACCCAUUGAGGCGGUGGGCUUGCUCAACGAUCUCUACAUGCUGUUUGAUGCUGUUCUGGGCAGCCAUGACCUGUAUAAGGUGAGAAUACCAGGAGGCUGGCAUUCCAUUCCUCCCUUUACUACUGUGCCUUGAUGGUACA